GGGCCUCCGUUGCGCCCCUCCGCGCUGCUUUCCUCGCCCCGCUCCCUGCGCCGGCCCCCUGCGGGAGCGCGGCCUCACGGGCGGCCCCAGCCCGCCCUGCCCCGCUGGCGGAGGGCGCUGCCUUCGUCCCGGGGGCGCCUGCCCCGGUGGGGCUCUCCGUGGAGCCGUGCUGGAGGCCGCGGGGAGGAGGGGGCUUCAGGCCGCCCCGCGUCAUGGUGCCGCCUCCCGGCGCCGUGCCCAGCCUGGCAGGGCCCCCGCUCCCCCUUGGGCAGCCCCCGGGUCUGCACCGAGGCCUCCCGGGUGCCUCCGCGCAGCCCGUUCCCCGUCCCCCGCCUGCCCUGGCGUCGCCCUGGCCGCGGCAGAGAGGCCGUCUCACCCUGCCACCAUCAUCCGUGCGGUUUGGACCCAGCCACGCUCCCUUUUAGAUACGUGCUGCGGCCCCAUUGUGACAAACCGCUCCGUUUUGGGGAGCGGGGCCUGCCUGAGCGCCAUGACGUAUCAGCAAAUGAUGUGCAUUAAAGUGUGUUAAAGAUACAUAUAAGCAGAGCAGGAUAAAAUGAAAUUACAUUCGACAAAGUGUGUUAGCAUUUGUUAGGUUUCAAAAUAACUGCUUCUUUUGUAAUAUGUUUUACAAACAGGGAAGAAAUUUGUGUAUGUUGAGCCAUCUAGGAGAGUUAAGGAAAUACUUGAAGAAGAGCUUUAUUUUCGGAAAGAAGAGUGCCACAUUAAACAUCCAGCUGCAGUGGCUCUGGAAGGAAUUUGGAGUGUGAAAAAGAAUUUCUCCAUGGGAGGCCUGAAACCAGCAUCACAGAACAGAAACAGUUUACUUUUGCAACCUAAAUUCUACUCGAGGCAUGAAGGAAUGAAAAGAUAGGCUUCAUGAAAAGCAGCAUCUUCAUUUUUGAAGAACACUGGGGAGGGCAGAAGCACCUGUGAUUAUCACACCUACAGCAGUCGCUUCUUACAAAAAACCUCCCAAUUUCAAAAGUGUAAAAUGCUUAUACUAUACCAGUUAAAUAAUAAAAUAGUAAAGGUGUCUAUAUGGGCACCUAUCAGCAUUGCAACUAGAUGGGGUGAAUGUGGAAGGACUCCACAACCAGAUCUAUUUGUCUGAAGUUUCACACUACUGACAUAUCAUAUUAUUAAUUUUGUACCACAGCAUUGUCUGGAUAUGGAAGUUAUAUGAGUGUAAUUACAACAAUAGCAUGAAUUAAGUUAUUACUAGCAUAAGAAGGGUUUAACCCAGUAUAGCAUUCUGCCAUGUCUGCCUUUACUCUAGGGGUAAUACUUGCACAAAUAUUUUGGUUAUAGAGCAGACCUAAUCUAUGUCAGCUACUAACUGCAGUCACCUGUGGUAUGUACUUAAGCCAAAUAAAUCUUAGUCAAACCAUAGAUAAUACAGUCAAAGAGCUCAGAGACAUAGAUGUAAUUUUAAAACUCAUAUUCAUAAGGCUUCCAGUAAAAGCACACAGUUUUCAAAGUUUUCAAUCCAGAGUUUUGAAUUCUGAUUGCCUCCAUUUCCCAUUAAGUUCCAUUAGAGAAGCACAGCUUUAAAAUGAAGCAGUUUAUUCAAGAUGAUUUUGAUGCUGAAAUUCAUGAUAUCUGUUGGUUUUCCUUUUGGGAUCCAGAUGUACCUAGGGACUGCUGCUAAAGAGAUAAGUGAUGUCUCUUCUCAGUAGCUAUACUGACUUUUCUGUAGCACAACAGGCAGGCAAUGAGAGAAGGGAUGGAAGAGAAGAUACAGGACAGGAGAAAAACUGAAAGCAAUCUGGCUUCAGCUCCUAUACUCACCAGUCCAUUUCCAUUCACACUUCACAUUCUGUGAAAGGAACUGGGCAAAAAAUGAAGUGAUAAUAGACUAAAAGAGUGAGAGAGGGACUAGGUACAGGCUAUGGAAAUGGAACAAAACAGAGGAGAGGUUUCUAGAAAGGAGAUGAACCUAUCAGCUUUAGAGCAAAGGGGAAAGGCACCACCCAAAGGAGAAGGAAGAAGCAUGGACAAGGGGAAUGAGAGAGGAGACAGGACAAAAGGUUAAGAAUUUCUAAAGGGAACUGGAAAUUGCUGAACUGUGUUCUUUUCUCUGGUUCUCCUAAGCAGAGAUAAAAACUCAAUGAAAUGAGGGAAAAAGAUGGAGAAAUAAGUAGGAGAGAGGAAAAAAAAAACAGAAAAAAUUAAGCAGGUAUGCCCAUGCUGCUGAAUUUGGUAAAAUUAAUGCAUUUAUUUUGGCUUCUUCCUUUUAUUGCCUUUUCCUAAAGUCCAUCCUGCAGGAUACAUUUUAAGUGACAAGUGGUUGUGGGGGCUUCACUAUGUAGGUGUCUCACCUGUCCUCAUAGAGGAUCUUUUUUUUUUUUUUUUUUUUACAGAUUGCUAAACUCUUGUCAUGCGAAUAUCUGAGCCUAUUCGAUGUCUCAAAACAAACAUCCCAAAUCACUAGCUGCCUUUGGAAAUGCAGAUCUAUAUUUCUAUGACUUUAAAGGAAGUUCUGCUUAGAUGCUUAGUUCUGCUUAGUUAUUCCCUCUUCCUUUGUUGUUGUUUUAUUUAUAUCCUUGUGCUGCCUUUCUUCAGAUGUAGUAGCCAAAUGUGAUUAGUAUUUCAGUCAGUGAUGAAGAUAUCUCAAUCCAAAACUUACUAAAUUAGUCACUAAAUUAGUCACUUGACAAAAAUUUGCUACUGUGAAACCUGGCAUUUUUAUAGGCUUCUGUGUUAUAAAAUGAUUCUAACUUCCAGGAGAAGAUUGUAAUAUAAUUAUAGAGAUGUCUUAACAUUCCUGAGACUGAGUCCAUUUAUUAAACCCAGCAGCUCAUAGACCAAGAGUUUGUAUUUCACUAUUUAAACUGAUUUAAUAAAAGCUUAACAUAAAUAA